UACGGAGGGUGCAAGCGUUAUCCGGAUUCACUGGGUUUAAAGGGUGCGUAGGUGGGCAGGUAAGUCAGUGGUGAAAUCUCCGGGGCUUAACUCGGAAACUGCCAUUGAUACUAUCUGUCUUGAAUACCGUGGAGGUUAGCGGAAUAUGUCAUGGUAGCGGUGAAAUGCUUAGAUAUGACAUAGAACACCAAAUUGCGAAGGCAGCUGGCUACACGAAUAUUGACACUGAUGCACGAAAGCGUGGGGGAUCAAAACAGGGA
rnacentral:rRNA from 1 species